rnacentral:rRNA from 1 species
CAGGGAAUCUUGCGCAAUGGGCGAAAGCCUGACGCAGCAACGCCGCGUGGGGGAUGAAGGCCUUCGGGUUGUAAACCCCUUUCAGGAGGGAAGAAAUUGACGGUACCUCCAGAAGAAGGACCGGCCAACUACGUGCCAGCAGCCGCGGUAAUACGUAGGGUCCGAGCGUUAUCCGGAAUCAUUGGGCGUAAAGAGCUCGUAGGCGGUUCAGCAAGUCGGCUGUGAAAGUCCGAGGCUCAACCUCGGAAUUGCAGUCGAUACUGCUGUGACUCGAGUCCGGUAGAGGAGAAUGGAAUUCCCGGUGUAGCGGUGAAAUGCGCAGAUAUCGGGAGGAACACCAGUAGCGAAGGCGGUUCUCUGGGCCGGCACUGACGCUGAGGAGCGAAAGCGUGGGGAGCAAACAGGAUUAGAUACCCUGGUAGUCCACGCCGUAAACGUUGGAUACUAGGUGUGGCGGUCUUACCAACGACUGCCGUGCCGAAGCUAACGCAUUAAGUAUCCCGCCG